rnacentral:rRNA from 1 species
UACGUAGGGUGCGAGCGUUGUCCGGAAUUAUUGGGCGUAAAGAGCUCGUAGGCGGUCUGUCGCGUCGGUCGUGAAAACUUGGGGCUUAACCCUGAGCUUGCGGUCGAUACGGGCAUGACUGGAGUUCGGCAGGGGAGACUGGAAUUCCUGGUGUAGCGGUGAAAUGCGCAGAUAUCAGGAGGAACACCGGUGGCGAAGGCGGGUCUCUGGGCUGUACCUGACGCUCAAACACGAAAGCUAGGGGAGCGAACGGG